UACGUAGGGAGCAAGCGUUGCCCGGAAUCAUUGGGCGUAAAGCGCGCGUAGGCGGCCCCGUAAGUCCGUUGUGAAAGUCAAAGGCUCAACCUUUGAAAGCCGAUGGAUACUGUGGGGCUAGAGUCCGGAAGAGGCGAGUGGAAUUCCUGGUGUAGCGGUGAAAUGCGCAGAUAUCAGGAAGAACACCUAUGGCGAAGGCAGCUCUCUGGGACGGUACUGACGCUGAGACGCGAAAGCGUGGGGAGCGAACAGG
rnacentral:rRNA from 1 species